AUGCAGUCGAGCGGUAGAGAGAAGCUUGCUUCUCUUGAGAGCGGCGGACGGGUGAGUAAUGCCUAGGAAUCUGCCUGGUAGUGGGGGAUAACGUUCGGAAACGGACGCUAAUACCGCAUACGUCCUACGGGAGAAAGCAGGGGACCUUCGGGCCUUGCGCUAUCAGAUGAGCCUAGGUCGGAUUAGCUAGUUGGUGAGGUAAUGGCUCACCAAGGCGACGAUCCGUAACUGGUCUGAGAGGAUGAUCAGUCACACUGGAACUGAGACACGGUCCAGACUCCUACGGGAGGCAGCAGUGGGGAAUAUUGGACAAUGGGCGAAAGCCUGAUCCAGCCAUGCCGCGUGUGUGAAGAAGGUCUUCGGAUUGUAAAGCACUUUAAGUUGGGAGGAAGGGCAGUUACUUAAUACGUGAUUGUUUUGACGUUACCGACAGAAUAAGCACCGGCUAACUCUGUGCCAGCAGCCGCGGUAAUACAGAGGGUGCAAGCGUUAAUCGGAAUUACUGGGCGUAAAGCGCGCGUAGGUGGUUUGUUAAGUUGGAUGUGAAAUCCCCGGGCUCAACCUGGGAACUGCAUUCAAAACUGACUGACUAGAGUAUGGUAGAGGGUGGUGGAAUUUCCUGUGUAGCGGUGAAAUGCGUAGAUAUAGGAAGGAACACCAGUGGCGAAGGCGACCACCUGGACUAAUACUGACACUGAGGUGCGAAAGCGUGGGGAGCAAACAGGAUUAGAUACCCUGGUAGUCCACGCCGUAACGAUGUCAACUAGCCGUUGGGAGCCUUGAGCUCUUAGUGGCGCAGCUAACGCAUUAAGUUGACCGCCUGGGGAGUACGGCCGCAAGGUUAAAACUCAAAUGAAUUGACGGGGCCCGCACAAGCGGUGGAGCAUGUG
rnacentral:rRNA from 1 species